GUGCUGGCUUCUGCAGCAUAUGUACUGAAAUUGGAACCAUACAGAGAAGAUCAGCAUGGCCCUGUCAAGGAUGAUACACAAAUUCGUGAACUGUUCCCUAUUUCU